rnacentral:rRNA from 1 species
AGAGUUUGAUCCUGGCUCAGGACGAACGCUGGCGGCGUGCCUAAUACAUGCAAGUCGAGCGCGGGAAGCGGACUCGUCACCCUUCGGGGUGUCUAGUCCGUGGAACGAGCGGCGGAUGGGUGAGUAUCACGUGGGCAACCUGCCUGUAAGAUUGGGAUAACUCGCGGAAACGUGAGCUAAUACCGAAUGAAGUCUUUCACCGCCUGGUGAAAGGAUGAAAGAUGGCUUUUAGCUAUCACUUACAGAUGGGCCCGCGGCGCAUUAGCUAGUUGGUGGGGUAAAGGCCUACCAAGGCGACGAUGCGUAGCCGACCUGAGAGGGUGAUCGGCCACACUGGGACUGAGACACGGCCCAGACUCCUACGGGAGGCAGCAGUAGGGAAUCUUCCGCAAUGGACGAAAGUCUGACGGAGCAACGCCGCGUGAGUGAUGAAGGUCUUCGGAUCGUAAAACUCUGUUGUCAGGGAAGAACAAGUUGUGUUCUAACAGGACAUGACCUUGACGGUACCUGACCAGAAAGCCCCGGCUAACUACGUGCCAGCAGCCGCGGUAAUACGUAGGGGGCAAGCGUUGUCCGGAAUUAUUGGGCGUAAAGCGCGCGCAGGCGGUCCUUUAAGUCUGAUGUGAAAGCCCACGGCUUAACCGUGGAGGGUCAUUGGAAACUGAGGGACUUGAGUACAGAAGAGGAGAGUGGAUUCCACGUGUACCGGUGAAUGCGUA